GAUGAACGCUGGCGGCGUGCCUAACACAUGCAAGUCGAACGAAGCACCUUACCUUAUUCUUCGGAUGAAAGUUUGGUGACUGAGUGGCGGACGGGUGAGUAACGCGUUGGUAACCUGCCCUGUACAGGGGGAUAACAGCUGGAAACGGCUGCUAAUACCGCAUAAGCGCACGUGGAGACAUCUCCUUGUGUGAGAAAGUACGGCGGUACAGGUGGGGCCGGCGGGUGAGUAGCUGGUGGGCAGGGUGACGGCCUACCAAGGCAACGAGCAGUAGUCGGUCUGAGAGGGUGACCGGCGAAAUUGGAACCGAGACACGGUCCAAACUCCUACGGGAGGCAGCAGUGGGGCAUAUUGCACGAUGGGGGGAAGCCGGAUGGAGCAGCGCCGCGUGAGUGAAGAAGUAUUGCGGUAUGUAAAGCUCUAUGAGCAGGGAAGAUAAUGACGGUACCUGAAGAAGAAGCACCGGCUAACUACGUG
rnacentral:rRNA from 1 species